GACGUAGGGGGCGAGCGUUGUCCGGAUUUAUUGGGCGUAAAGCGUCCGUAGGUGGCGUGUCAAGUCUGCGGUCAAAGACUGGGGCUUAACCCUGGAAAGGCCGUGGAAACUGACGAGCUAGAGUGCAGUAGGGGUAGAGGGAAUUCCCGGUGUAGCGGUGAAAUGCGUAGAGAUCGGGAAGAACAUCGGUGGCGAAAGCGCUCUACUGGACUGCAACUGACACUCAGGGACGAAAGCUAGGGGAGCGAAUGGG
rnacentral:rRNA from 1 species